rnacentral:rRNA from 1 species
UACAGAGGGGGCAAGCGUUGUUCGGAAUUACUGGGCGUAAAGGGCGCGUAGGCGGCCGCCUAAGUCAGACGUGAAAUCCCUCGGCUCAACCGGGGAACUGCGUCUGAUACUGGGUGGCUUGAAUUCGGGAGAGGGAUGCGGAAUUCCAGGUGUAGCGGUGAAAUGCGUAGAUAUCUGGAGGAACACCGGUGGCGAAGGCGGCAUCCUGGACCGACAUUGACGCUGAGGAGCGAAAGUGUGGGGAGCGAACAGG